rfam:Comamonas sp. SCN 67-35 ABT03_C0020, whole genome shotgun sequence.
UCGCAUCCGCCAUUCGGUACAGCCGUGUCGCGGAAGGUUUUGAACCAACUCGUGUUUCCCGCAGGGAAACAAAAGUCAGCG